CUGCUUCUUUCUGCUUGCAGGAAUUGAGUCUCAAUCCCCCAGUUUCUGAAAAAGCCUUUAGUAGAAGCCAUGUUCUUGAUUUUAUGAGUUGGGGUUCAUCUCAGCUUGAGUAUCAUAUUUGCUUAUAGAAUUAAGUGAGAAUCCAAUGGUGGUGUCUUCUCAGCACUGUCCAAAAAGCUGGAUGUUAGCUAUGCUAGGUUGGCAUAAUACCCAAAACUACAGAAGAUCAAUCCAUGCUCUGAACUUCCUGAGUCUACUGAUAGAAGGGCAGACAUUCUAUCUUGAUAGAAGACAAGUUGACACCAUGCAAGGAAGGACUCAGUGCCCCCAAAAUGCAGGCUGUGUAAUGAAAAUACAUCAUUAGGCAAGAAAAAAAGCUUCAAAGACACGGACCCGAAGAGCAUCAUGUACUGAGUUUGAGGUGUAGAGACCUGUUGCUGCUCCCGACCUCCUUUGGGCUGGAGCUGGCUGACCUGCCGGCUGCUCCAUUCUACAGGGACAAAGCUGCUCUCCUCACUGCUCCUCCACUCCAGGACUGAACGUCCAGAGCCCAGCUCACCUUAACAGAGCAAUCAUUUGUGAAGUGAUUUCCCCAGAAUAAGCAUGCUUGCAAGUGGAAAAUUUCCUGCACAUAAUGGGAAGGUGCCUGAGCAUUUUACAGACCUGAGAUUGCAUCGAUACGCCUUUGGAAGGUUCCAGGCAAAAAGGCUUUCCUUCUGUCUUUCCCAAUGAGACUUCAGAUUUGAUUCUCCCUCACAUAAGUGAUGGAUCCGAAGACCAGGAAAUUUUAUGGGAGUUUUUGUCUUCUUGAUUUCAGUGAUUUUUGAUUAAGCACUGUAGCCUGCUGGG
rnacentral:lncRNA from 1 species